CAGGGAUUGCCUCAGUAACGGCGAGUGAAGCGGCAACAGCUCAAAUUUGAAAUCUGGCCUCCUCCGGGGGACCCGAGUUGUAAUUUGCAGAGGAUGCUUUGGGCGAGGUGCCUUCCGAGUUCCCUGGAACGGGACGCCGCAGAGGGUGAGAGCCCCGUACGGUCGGCUGCCGAGCCUCUGUAAAGCUCCCUCGACGAGUCGAGUAGUUUGGGAAUGCUGCUCUAAACGGGAGGUAAACCCCUUCUAAAGCUAAAUACCGGCCAGAGACCGAUAGCGCACAAGUAGAGUGAUCGAAAGAUGAAAAGCACUUUGGAAAGAGAGUUAAAAAGCAUGUGAAAUUGUUGAAAGGGAAGCGCUUGUGACCAGACCUGCGCCCGGCAGCUCAGCCGUCCUUCUGGGCGGUGCACUCUGCCGGCUCAGGCCAGCAUCGGUUGGCGGCGGGGGAGAAAGGCGGCGGGAACGUGGCUCUUCGGAGUGUUAUAGCCCGCCGUCAUGCCCCGCCGUGGAUCGAGGUUCGCGCUUCCGCAAGGAUGCUGGCGUAAUGGUCACCAGCGACCCGUCUUGAAACACGGACCAAGGAGUCGUCCUAAUAUGCGAGUGUUGGGGUGUCAAACCCCCCAACGCGCAAUGAAAGUGAACGCAGGUGAGAGCUGCGGCGCAUCACCGACCGAUCCUGAUGUUCUCGGAUGGAUUUGAGUAUGAGCAUGUUGGGCCGGACCCGAAAGAAUGUGAACUAUGCCUGUAUAGGGUAAAGCCAGAGGAAACUCUGGUGGAGGCUCGCAGCGGUUCUGACGUGCAAAUCGAUCGUCAAAUAUGGGCAUGGGGGCGAAAGACUAAUCGAACAUUCUAGUAGCUGGUUUCCGCCGAAGUUUCCCUCAGGAUAGCAGUGCUGAGCUCAGUUUUAUGAGGUAAAGCGAAUGAUUAGGGACUCGGGGGCGCUAUUUAGCCUUCAUCCAUUCUCAAACUUUAAAUAUGUAAGAAGCUCCUUGUUGCUUUAGUGAACGUGGGCAUUCGAAU
rnacentral:rRNA from 1 species